UGUCUCCCAACAGAUUUACACUGACUGGGCCAACCACUACCUGGCAAAAUCCGGCCACAAGCGGCUGAUCAAGGACUUGCAGCAGGACAUUGCGGACGGGGUCCUUCUGGCAGACAUCAUCCAGAUCAUUGCAAAUGAGAAAGUCGAAGAUAUCAAUGGAUGUCCGAGAAGUCAGUCUCAGAUGGUAAGAGUCCGAUUUAUUCGGAAUCUCAGCGCUGGGCGCCAUUUUCAAAGUUAACUGCCUUUGCAUGAUGGCUUUCACAUUUGUCUGUCUGCUGUCCUGCUUGCAUGAGAAAUCAUCUGCUCCCAGGAUUUCUGUGUGUCCACUGUCCGUGCAACAACCUCAGACUCUGAGGAACGCUGACUACCGCGUACCAUGCCUGUAGGUGUGUUUUCUGACCUCUGACCUAGUUUUUCUCUUCUUCUCCUGUUUGUUCUGCUGUUCCUAUAGUAUGUAAUUCUGUACACUGGGCUUUCUGUCAGUAAACUUAAUUGCAAGUUUUAAGCAAUAGAGUUUGCUGGGGCAACUAUUUUUGGAAUAGCACUUACCUUGUGCAUUUUUCAAAUAUAAGCAUAGUGUUUUGGGUGUUCUUCAGGACGGUCAGUGUACGCAUAUGAGAUUGUGCCUCUGUUGGAAACAGCUCCGAAGGCUUGCUUGCUGU
rnacentral:lncRNA from 1 species